rnacentral:rRNA from 1 species
AGCGGAGGAAAAGUAACUAACAAGGAUUCCCCUAGUAACUGCGAGUGAAGCGGGAAAAGCUCAAAUUUAAAAUCCUUCGGGAAUUGUAAUCUAGAGAAGUGUUUUCGGUCGUUGCCUCGGACAAGUCCCUUGGAACAGGGCGUCAUAGAGGGUGAGAAUCCCGUCCUUGCCGAGCUACCAACGUCUAUGUGAUGCACUCUCGAAGAGUCGAGUUGUUUGGGAAUGCAGCUCAAAAUGGGUGGUAAACUCCAUCUAAAGCUAAAUAUUGGCGAGAGACCGAUAGCGAACAAGUACCGUGAGGGAAAGAUGAAAAGCACUUUGGACAGAGAGUUAAACAGUACGUGAAAUUGUUGAAAGGGAAGCGCUUGAAGUCAGUCGCGUUGCAAGGACUCAGCCGCAAGGUGCAUUUCUUUGCAACGGGUCAACAUCAGUUUUGGGCGUGGGAAAAGGGCUUGAGGAAUGUGGCAGCCUCGGCUGUGUUAUAGCCUCCUGUCGUACACCAUGCCUGGGACUGAGGACCGCUAACAGGAUGUUGACGUAAUGGCUUUAAGAGACCCGUCUUGAAACACGGACC